rnacentral:lncRNA from 1 species
CUUACACUUUUGUGCAUGUGAAUGAUAAUUGUGUGGCUAGUAGCCCAUUGAGUGUGAUUUAUAGCUUGCCUAUAUGUGAGUCUAUUGUUUCUUUGCCACUUGAUGAUGAUGUACUUGUUGUGAGUGUGGAUACACUAGUUGAUCCUAUUGAUGAUCGAAUCGACUCUUCUUGUAAGAUCGAUUUAUGUCCACCUAGUGUUAGAACCAUUGUGUUGAAUGAAAGUACAUCGU